UUUAAUUUUUUUACCUGUAGCUGGGAGCAGUUGAGUAUAACUUUUUACACAGAACUUACUCUGCUGAGCUGAGGAGAUUGUGAGCUGAUUCUGCAUAUCCCCUUAAAAAAUGGAUUUGGACACCAUUGAAGGAGAACCAGGUUGUUGGGCCUGCUGAAUUAAGAUUGAAGAUUGUCAUUGUUACAGAUUCUCAGAAAUGGAAUACAACUCCCCUCCCUCUCACACCCUCUCUCCUCAUCCCUAUAUUAGCACUUCUUCCCUAAAUAAAUGUGUACUUUACUCAAA